GCCAACGGUGGGGUCUGAAGGAAGCCAUAGGAAGUUAACGGUACACAACGCAAGUGAACCUGCUUCGGCAGCCCAGGUGGGUUAGCGUGCAAAAUAGCGCGACGCCCGAUACUCAGUCAGACCUGGGCUGUGCUUGAGGGUGGCAUCGUUAACAGGGAGCCGGU
rnacentral:ncRNA from 2 species